GGCAGCUUUUCCGGGGUGGCAGGCGGCACAGUUGGAGGUAACUAGGAUUUCUACCUCAACCGCGAGACCUAUGCAAGGACGGUGUGGACCAACUCGCGCCCGCGGCAUGGUGCCCGCCGGCCUGCCGGGCUCCCAUCCCUGGACGGCAGAGGCGAGGACGGACGGGAGCUCCACUGUGAAUCGGCGGCACGCGCCGCAGGAGGCUGGGACUGGUCCAGUUUAUACUGUCGAUAGUUUUAGAUAAAGUAUUUAUCAUUUUUUAAAAAGUAUAAACAAUUCUGACUUAUUUUAUUCCAUCUAAGUGGUAAAAGACAACUUAUUGAGAAAUAUAAAUAUCUAUAUAUGAGAGCUCUAUAUAAAGACACGUGUCUGCAGGGCGGGCCCGCCAGCGGAUUCGCCACAGCCUGCCCCGGUGCUAUCUCGUCCCCAGGCCCGCGCCUGCCUCCACCCGCUUGGUGCUGACUAGACGCUGACAACGCCGAACCCCGUUCUCGGAAACGCCGCCCGGCCGGCUCCCCCGACGCGCUGCUCCCGUACCAAAGGCAGGCCCGUCGCCACCACAUUCCUCGGAGGCCUCCCCGCGGCCUGAGCCCCUUCCUGAGCCCCUGGCGCCUGCCCUGAGCUCUUCACCUUUACCCCGGCACUGUGAACCCCCAGACUGUUCACCCUCCGGGGCGUGGGUUGCGCCCUUGCAUGUGAAGGGGCCUGCGUGGUGACGCAGCUGGCCGUGUGCUGCGCGAUGGUGCUGUGAGGACGGCGCAGGCACGUGGAACAAGUGCAUUUACUUUUGUAUUUCUCGGCUGUCCAUGGCUCGCAGCAUGCCCUGCGAUGCGGGGCAGGCCUGUCGUGGGUCCCUUGGUGUUUCUGUACAGGAGAGAGUCACACUAAUGAGUGGCAGUAUUUUAUAGAGAUGUGAUGAGAAUUUAUAAAUUUCAUAGAUUUGACAGCUUUUAUUUUUAGAUGGUAUAAUGCACAGUGAAGAGGAAAGAAAAGCGAGGGGAAAAAACCUUAUUUAUUCAAACAGUGCACAAAAUGGCCCCAGCGUCAGCCCCCACCCUAGACCCCUCAGUUGCAGCUCCCAGCAGCCCAGACGGAGCUGCCGGGGCCCCUGCCUGCCCCACAUCCCUUCCUGUCAGGGCCACGCCUGGCACCCAUCCCUUGGAGCCUGUGCUGGUUCUCCCAGCUGCUGUGGGUGUGCUGGGGCCAGGGUGCACUGCUGAAGCCUGGCCUCUCUGGCCCUAGGCCCCAGGGUGACGUUAGCCCCCCACUCUGCAGCCUUGGCGGGUGCCUGGGACUGGGUGUGGAAGGAGAGGAGCUGAGGCCGGGGUGUAGCAGGCAGGCAGGGCCACUCCAGUGCUUCUGGAGCCCUGAGCAGUCAGGGCCUGGGUUGUCUGAGCAGUGGUGGCUCUGUGCCCUCCCUGGAGGAUGGGAUCUGGGAGUCUGAGCUCCCCACAUCUGGCCCUGGGCUGUGUGGCACUUGCUGAGCCCACCUUCUCAAGUGCUUGCUCCUGUGAGAUGGCAUCGGGGAGCCCCUUCCCCAAGGUGCCACAGAUCCACCCUCCAGGGAGCUGCCAGCCCUGUGUUCUGGUUCCCAAGGGCAGGAUGGACACACGUCACAUCCCUACCAUGUGGCCUCCAAAGGGAGCCACGGAGGAAAGGCUUCUGUGGUUGCUAGGUGGGGGAGUCCUGUGUGGGAGGGCCUGGAAGACCCCUGCUUGUGCCUGGUGAGGGGGGUGCUGCCUCCCCCAGCCCCCAACAACCUCUCAGACCCCCACCCUCCAACAUAGCUGAGUUCUGAAGAUGGUGCUCCGGACCUGUCCUCUUAAGUGGUGCCCAGUGCCCUCCCCACCCCGCAUUGGUGCUCUCAGCUAGAAGGUGCUGUGCCUCUGCCUGAGCCCCAAGCCCCGAGCCUGGCCUUCAGGACAGGCAGCCUGCUCUGUGUCGCCACGGGCCGGAUAUGCCACAGGGUUGAUGGCAGAGACGGCAGAGUCCCUGGUCUAGAACAAGACACAUUCUUUAAACACUGUAUUACUUCUGCCUCCCUCUAGGGGACAGUGGCAGUCCGGGUGCCAUCACGGGUCCUGCAGAUGGCCAUGCAGGGCUCCUGCCCACGCAGGCCACCGUAUGUUCAGGGCACGCACUGGGUCUCAGAGCCACUGGCCCAGGCAGAAGUCUCCUUGAGCCCACUGGGUCAUAUGCGUGUCACCACAUGUGAACUAGUGUGGUGGCUGCCUGCGGACACCCUCCUGUUCUGAGCCCUGGGCCUGUGUUCUCAGACACUCCCAGACUGAGGGGUGGUGUGUGGCGGGUGGCAGGGUGGCUGUGGAGACUGGUGAUCUGGAGCCUGGUGCUGGCACCUGGCCUGAGUUUCCGUGGGCAGCUGGCGGGGACCUGUGCUGCUGCUGCUGACUGUGGGUGGGCGGGCGGCGCCUGGGAGUGGCUCUUGCUCAGGAAUUGAUAGGAACCCUAACGACUAGGACACCCCCUCCUCGGCCCAUGAGGCACGCACAGUGACUUAUUUAAGACUUCCCCCUUAAUUUAUCUGCCCCCAGGAUGCGUCAGUCUGUUCAGUGGUCAGCAGGCCCCCCACCCCCCGCCGACUGCCCUCGCCAUUGCGGUCAGACCCCCUCCCAACACAACACGCUGCUGGUCUGUGUCAGCCUUUGUAACGUGGGAGGCUCUGCCGUGUCUUCCGGGUGAACUGUAUUUGGAUUGCGCGCAUUGUCACGGUCCGCCCCUGGGCUGCGGGCGCCCCUUCCUCUGGGCACCCCUGCAUUCUGCAUCCCCACCUCUAGACGCUGUAAUAAACAGACGGUUUUCACUCGGACCUGGUGUGAAUGGCAGCCUUUCUUCCAGGUGGCAUGAGGCGUCUCCUGGCGGCCAGUGAGAGGCCCCGGCUAGUGUGUCAUCGCCGAAACGGGGAGUGGAGGGCCUAGGGGUGCUCCUAGCAGAAGCUCCGGGGGCUGACACCAGGACACCCUGGCCUUGGGGAGGCUUAUGAGGGCACCAGGCCACAGGCAAAGUGCCUUUUGAUGAACGGAAAACCAGAUCUGCGACCCCAAUGACAUCGGCAAAGUCCUUUUCACAUCAAAUGGACCAAAGCUGGCCCAGGCCCCAGCCACACUCCGGGAGGGCCCGUGAAUGCCAGAGGCAGGACCCCAGGUCACCACAGGAUUCCUGAUACCACACAGCAGCUCUGUUCUCCCCAGGCCUGGGUCCCAGCCUCCACCUGUCCUGGCUGGGGGUUCUAGCUCUCCCCUCAGUGCAGGAGGCCCAGCCACUGCCUCUCAGGACCCUGAGCCUUACUUCCCUUGGGUGGGGGCUCCCUGGUUGCCCCUCCCCUCUCCUUCACUUCACCGCCAUCCAGUGUGGAAAAGAGGUACCUUUAUUUGAACAGAACAAGCACCCCGGCCCCAGGGCAACCACUUCCCCAGGUGCACAGCCAGGGCCCUCCUGUCUGCAGGAGAAUUCACAGCUGGUGGGGGACUCAGCCCCUAUGCCAUUCACAGCUUUGUCUGGCUCUGUACAUUCAUUCAGCACGGGGCAGGGGGGCCAUGCCACCAGCCUGGGGGCUCACCAGGCCCCUGGAUGCACACAACUCAGGCGGGGCACCUGUGGGAAGGCGCAUAUCCUGGCGGCAGCAGCACGUGGCACCAGGUGCCAGGCCAGUUAGGUGGAUCCUGGGGCCCCAGGGAGCGCAGCUUGCUGGGCAGUUUCAUAAAAUGCAGCCCCUGCCCACACCCACCUGGCUUCAGGCUUUGGAUGUCUCCAAACCAAAAACCUCCCACUGAAGAUCCAGGUGUGAUGGCCGGGUGUGGCGGCUCAUGCCUGUGAUCCCCGCUACUUGGGAAGCUGAGGCAGGAGGAUCACUUGAGUCCAGAAGGUCAAGGUCACAGUGAGCUGUGGCACCACUGCACUCUAGCCUGGGCAACACAGUGAAACCCUGACCCAAAAACCAAAACAAAACAAAUCCAGGCAUGGCCAAGCGAUUCAUGGCUGGGCAGGGCCAGUCCCGUCCCGCUGCACGCUGACCACCGUGCCCUGCGCUCACGCCUGCAAGCCACUCAGCUGGAACCUGGCCUCCUCGGAUAUGCCGAACUGUUCCAGGGGGUCCUGUGGGGAGGACGGGUGGCCAUGAGCCAGGGCUGGAGGACUGCCUCUGCCACCUGCAGCCCCACCCCGGCCACCUGCAGCCCCACCCCGGCCCUCUGCAGCCCUGCACACACCUUGCCCGUCACCUUCCGGAUUUCAUUCCUAUAGAAGAUGAGGCUUCUCCGCAUGAACUCGUAGCUGGGGAAAAGGGUGGCACGGGGUCAAAUGCCUGCUCUGCAUGGCUGCUGUGCCCACCCCAGCAGUGCCCACCACCGCCUGGCCCCACCUGGCCCGACGCAGAGCCUCCAUCCACUCCUGACACUGCUCCUCGCUGCUGCACUCAAAGUGAUACUUCCUCUCAGGGUCCUCAAUGAAGCCUGGGGAUGGAACACCUGUGGUCGGUCCUACCCACAGCCACAAGCAGCUUCCUCUUGCCAUUGCCCAUAAACUGUCCCUUCUCUGGCCCCCACAAAGAUGUGUUCAUGUCCUGACCCCCAGAACCCAUGAGUAUGGCCCUGUAUAUAAACAGGGUCUUUGCAUAUAAACUAGUCAAAAUGAGGUUGUCGCCAGGUGCGGUGGCUCAUGCCUAUAAUCCCAGUGCUUUGAGAGGCCAAGGUGGGAGGAUUGCUUGAGCUCAGGAGUUCGAGACCAGCCUGGGUGACAUGGCAAAAUCCCCAUCUCUACAAAAACAAAAAUUAGCCAGGUGUGGUGGUGGGGCCUUGUAGGCCCAGCCACUCCGGAGUCAGAAGUGGGAGGACUGCUUGAGCCAAGGGGGUUGAGGCUGCAGUGAGCUGUGAUCACGCCACUGCACUCCAGCCUCGGAAACAAAAGAUCCUGUCUCAAAAAUAAAGAGGGCCGGGUACGGUGGCUCAAGACCGUAAUCCCAGCACUUUGGGAGGCCAAGGUGGGAGGAUCACCUGAGGUCAGGAGUUCGAGAGCAGCCUGGCCAACAUGGCGAAACCCCGUCUCUACUAAAAAUACAAAAAUUAGCUGGGCAUGGUGGCGCGUGCCUGUAGUACCAGCUACUCGGGAGGCUGAGGCAGGAGAAUCACUUGAACCCAAGAGGGGGAAGUUACAGGGAGCCGAGAUCGCACCACUGCACUCCAGCCUGGGCGACAUACCAAGACCCUGUCUCAAAAAAUAAGCAAAUAAAAUAAUAAAGUAAAGUAAAAAGGGGUUGUCAGGGUGGGCCCUAAAUUCUGCUUGGCGUCUGUGUGGAAGGGGAAAUGUGGGCACAGACGUGAUGCAAGGAGGACAAGGCGACGCUUCCACAAGCCAAGGAACCUGGAGGAUACUGGCCACCACUAGGAACUGGAAGAUUCCCCUCGGCCUCAGAAGGAUUCGGCCCCACCCACACCUUCAUC
rnacentral:lncRNA from 1 species